GAUCCUGGCUCAGAAUCAACGCUGGCGGCGUGCCUAACACAUGCAAGUCGCACGAGAAAGGGUAGCAAUACCUGAGUACAGUGGCGCACGGGUGAGUAACACGUGAAUCAUCUACCUUCGAGUGGGGAAUAACUGAGAGAAAUCUCGGCUAAUACCGCAUAAUACCUACGGGUCAAAGCAGCAAUGCGCUUGAAGAGGAGUUCGCGGCAGAUUAGUUAGUUGGCGGGGUAAUGGCCCACCAAGACGAUGAUCUGUAUCCGGCCUGAGAGGGCGCACGGACACACUGGAACUGAAACACGGUCCAGACUCCUACGGGAGGCAGCAG
rnacentral:rRNA from 2 species